CAAUAGCGUAUAUUAAAGUUGUUGCAGUUAAAAAGCUCGUAGUUGGAUUUGUGGCGUACGGUGUGUUCCGGGCACUUGUUGUCUGAGUAACCUGCUGUUGCCAUCCUUGGGUGGAACCUGUGUGGCAUUAGGUUGUCGUGCAGGGGAUGCCCAUCAUUUACUGUGAAAAAAUUAGAGUGUUCAAAGCAGGCUUAUGCCGUUGAAUAUAUUAGCAUGGAAUAAUGAGAUAGGACUUUCUUGCUAUUUUGUUGGUUUGCGCAAAGAGGUAAUGAUUAAUAGGGACAGUUGGGGGUACUCGUAUUCCAUUGUCAGAGGUGAAAUUCUUGGAUUUUUGGAAGACGAACUACUGCGAAAGCAUUUACCAAGGAUGUUUUCAUUAA
rnacentral:rRNA from 1 species